UAUAGUUUAUUUGAUGGUCGAUCCUUAUAUGGAUAACUGUGGUAAUUCUAGAGCUAAUACACGAACCCAAACCCGACUCCGUGGAAGGGUUGUGGUUAUUAGUUACAGAACCAUCCCAGGCUCUGCCUGGUUGUGUGGUGAUUCAUAGUAACCCAACGAAUCGCAUGGCUUUGCCGGCGAUGCAUCUUUCAAGUUUCUGACCUAUCAGCUUCCGACGGUAGGGUAUUGGCCUACCGUGGCAAUGACGGGUAACGGAGAAUUAGGGUUCAAUUCCGGAGAGGGAGCCUGAGAAACGGCUACCACA
rnacentral:rRNA from 1 species